AUCCAUGCCGUAAACGAUGCAAACUAGGCAUUGGGAGUAUCGACUCUCUCAGUGUCGAAGCUAACGCGUUAAGUUUGCCGCCUGGGUAGUACGGUCGCAAGACUAAAACUCAAAGGAAUAGACGGGGGCCCGCACAAGCGGUGGAGCGUGUGGCUUAAUUCGAUGCUAAACGAGGAACCUUACCUAGGUUAGAAAUCCAACUGUAUAUCGCAAGAAAAGGCGAUAGCUUCGAGAUCGUUGGACAGGUGCUGCAUGGUUGCCGU
rnacentral:rRNA from 1 species